rnacentral:rRNA from 1 species
UACGAAGGGUGCAAGCGUUCCUCGGAAUUACUGGGCGUAAAGCGUGCGUAGGUGGUGAGUUAAGUCUGAUGUGAAAUCCCCGGGCUCAACCUGGGAAUGGCAAUGGAUACUGGGCAGCUAGAGUGUGUCAGAGGAUGGUGGAAUUCCCGGUGUAGCGGUGAAAUGCGUAGAGAUCGGUAGGAACACCAGUGGCGAAGGCGGUCUCCUGGGGCAUUCUUGACGCUGAGGCGCGAAAGCUGGGGGAGCGAACGGG